rnacentral:rRNA from 1 species
AUUGAACGCUGGCGGCAGGCUUAACACAUGCAAGUCGAGCGAGCGGCGGGCAGGUGAGAAAUGUAUGGGGAUCCGUCGGAUAGAGCGGGAUAACAACUGGAAACGGUAGCUAAUAUCGCGUACUAUCGGUUGAACCCCUAUGGGAUUAGAUAGUGGGUGGGGUAAUGGCCCUGCCAGGCGACGAUCCCUAGCUGGUCUGAGAGGAUGAUCAGCCACACUGGGACUGAGACACGGCCCAGACUCCUACGGGAGGCAGCAGUGGGGAAUAUUGCACAAUGGGGGAAAGCCUGAUGAAGCCAUGCCGCGAGUAUGAAGAAGGCCCUCGGGUUGUAAAGUACUUUCGGUAGGGAGGCGUUAUCGACAGAAGAAGCACCGGCUAACUCCGUGCCAGCAGCCGCGGUAAUAC